ensembl:lncRNA
CUUCAUUUUCAGUCAAAGGCUGUUUGGCAUCUGUCGGCAAUGACCGCAUGUGUCAUUUGGUUAGAGAUUCUGAAUUUGAAUUCAUGAAGUGCAUUCACUUUGCACUACUUCCAGAGAAAUAUUGCAUCCCGGCACCCAAUGCACAAGACCGGUGGAUGAUUAGACUGGGGGUGAGUGGUGCAAAGAGUAGAGAGGAAGGGUAAGAGGACAUAGCAACUCAAAAUAUCCAAAGUGUGACCUGACAAGUGACAGACUCACAGAAUCACACUGAACUGAUGCGUCCUAUUCAGUCUUUUCGUCGAAGUUGUCGUUAGUGAGAAUUUGGCUGACGCUUCUCCGUUAGAAGGGGAAGUGAGAAAUGUGUUUUAGAAGCAUGCUCAUGUUGACUGCAGUAUUUCUCCUGAGGCUGCCAGGUGUUCAGUGUGGAGUGAGUGUGACCUACUCCUCCACACAAGUCUGUGGCCUUAAAGGGGCAUCAGUGGUCCUGCCCUGCAAAUAUGACUAUUAUGGGGUUGGACAUUAUAUUGGAGGAGAGUGGUAUGAAAAGAAAAGAGGGAAAGUCAGAGGACACAGUAACUCAGAUUAUCCUGACUGCAGUCUGAAAAUAGACAAACUUUCAAAUGAUCAGUCUGGUGUUUAUCACUUUCGGUUUUACACAACCCUACACAGGAGUUGGAUAACAGCCAGACCUG